UACGUAGGGUGCAAGCGUUGUCCGGAAUUAUUGGGCGUAAAGAGCUCGUAGGCGGUUUGUUGCGUCGGCUGUGAAAUCCCCGGGCUUAACCUGGGAACUGCGCUUGUUACUGGCAGACUGGAGUGUGGCAGAGGGGGGUGGAAUUCCAGGUGUAGCAGUGAAAUUCGUAGAUAUGGGGAGGAACACCGGUGGCGAAGGCGGCCAUCUGGACGGUAACUGACGCUGAGACGCGAAAGCGUGGGGAGCAAACAGG
rnacentral:rRNA from 1 species